AUUUCUAUAGCUUAUAUAAAUAGAGCAUUUCAGUGAAGUUGAAAGGGAAAUUUUUAUUUAGAAAUA
rnacentral:tRNA from 1 species